GUCGUUGAACUCUAGAGAUAGAGCUUCCCCUUCGGGGGCAAAGUGACAGGUGGUGCAUGGUUGUCGUCAGCUCGUGUCGUGAGAUGUUGGGUUAAGUCCCGCAACGAGCGCAACCCUUAUUGUUAGUUGCCAUCAUUUAGUUGGGCACUCUAGCAAGACUGCCGGUGACAAACCGGAGGAAGGUGGGGAUGACGUCAAAUCAUCAUGCCCCUUAUGACCUGGGCUACACACGUGCUACAAUGGGAAGUACAACGAGUCGCAAAGUCGCGAGGCUAAGCUAAUCUCUUAAAGCUUCUCUCAGUUCGGAUUGUAGGCUGCAACUCGCCUACAUGAAGCCGGAAUCGCUAGUAAUCGCGGAUCAGCACGCCGCGGUGAAUACGUUCCCGGGUCUUGGACACACCGA
rnacentral:rRNA from 1 species